rnacentral:rRNA from 1 species
UACAGAGGUCCCAAGCGUUGUUCGGAUUCACUGGGCGUAAAGGGUGCGUAGGUGGUGAGGUAAGUCGGAUGUGAAAGCUCGGAGCUCAACUCCGAAAUGGCAUUGGAAACUACCUUGCUCGAGGGUUGGAGGGGGGACUGGAAUACUUGGUGUAGCAGUGAAAUGCGUAGAUAUCAAGUGGAACACCAGUGGCGAAGGCGAGUCCCUGGACAACUCCUGACACUGAGGCACGAAAGCUGGGGGAGCAAACAGG